UGACCUGAAGAAGAAUUAAAAUUGUAAAUAAAAGUUGGUAGAUGUAUAAUAUAUUGGUAAAUAAGUUUCUUGGUAACUUUAAAGAGAACUUUCAAACAUAUACAAAACCUAUUUUACACAAAUCUGCAAAAAAAUUUCCAAUUUUAAACUUUAGUUCUUUUAUUUUAAAUAUUUCUAAUUAUCUUAAUAAAUAUUAUAAUAGUUCUAAUUACCUUUAUUAUCUACAUACCAAUAAUACAGCUAAGUUUUGAUUAUUUUACACUGACUAAACUUAUUUCUAUAAAAAAAAUAUUUAUUAAUGUUUUUUUUUUUUUUUAAAAAUAUUGCUAUUGGCCACUGAAUAUUUUUUUGGUCAAAUAUUCUGCAAAAUCACUAUUUAUUCAUCCCUAUGACGUACGAUAGCUGGGAGAUAGAUUAAAUGAGAUGGAGGAAAUAUUCAGGGUUGGCUUUUUGCCGGCAGAAACUGGUUAUAACCGGCAGAAACUAAAAAAACUUCUAUAAUUAGUUCUAGUAAUUGCUUAGUGACAUUUUAUUUAAGUAAACUGAAAAACUUAACUCCAUGUAACUGUAACAAACUUUUUAGUUCAUUGUUUGUAAAUAUAUAUUAUUUUGUUUACAUUAAAUAUAAAGAGUGCUGUAUGUCAAAUAUUUAUAUUAAAUUCUGAAAUUCAGUAAUUAUUAUCAUUUAACUCUUAACAUAACUGAAUAGAGCUAUUUUCAAGACAUAAUUUGCAUGGCAACAAUCCAAUUAUUAUAACAGUAACAGUUUUAAUCUUUUGUGGAUGGCAAUGCCUGCGAGUUCUGCUGGACUUGAGAGAAUCUUCUCAAAUUUCUCGUUUGUGCAUAGCAAAUUGAGAAAUUGUUUAGGUUUAGAAACUGCAUCAAAUUUUGUCUUUUGUUAUAUAUUACUGCAGAGUGCAAACAAUGUAAUAUUUGAUUUUGAAUGGUGAUAAUUUUGUAAAAAAAUUGUACUUUGUUUAACAUUUAAUUGUUUUUUCUAUGAAUUAUCCAUUAUAUGUCAAUCUCAGUUCUUACUUUUAUGUCAUUUUCUGAAUUACUGCCAGUUUCUGCCAUGCCGGUUUUAACCGGUUUCUACCAGUGGUUUUAACCACCUCGGCAGAAACUUGCCAACCUUGGAAUAUUUUGUUUUAAGUUUUAUAAAAGAAAGAAUUUUUUUCUGAUAUUAAACAUUCAUUGUUUACAGUUAA